UCCGUCCUUGAUCUAGGGGAAGCUGAAGUCAAGGGAUCGUCUAGUGAUGACUUCCGUGCUUACACCCAUAACUUAACACGCCUCAGGCACCUCGGUGUCUAGUGGCAAUUUCUGGAGCC